GACGAACGCUGGCGGCGUGCUUAACACAUGCAAGUCGAACGGAAAGGCCCUGCUUUUGUGGGGUGCUCGAGUGGCGAACGGGUGAGUAACACGUGAGUAACCUGCCCUUGACUUUGGGAUAACUUCAGGAAACUGGGGCUAAUACCGGAUAGGAGCUCCUGCUGCAUGGGGGGGGUUGGAAAGUUUCGGCGGUUGGGGAUGGACUCGCGGCUUAUCAGCUUGUUGGUGGGGUAGUGGCUUACCAAGGCUUUGACGGGUAGCCGGCCUGAGAGGGUGACCGGCCACAUUGGGACUGAGAUAGGGCCCAGACUCCUACGGGAGGCAGCAGGGGGGAAUAUUGCACAAUGGGCGGAAGCCUGAUGCAGCAACGCCGCGUGCGGGAUGACGGCCUUCGGGUUGUAAACCGCUUUCGCCUGUGACGAAGCGUGAGUGACGGUAAUGGGUAAAGAAGCACCGGCUAACUACGUG
rnacentral:rRNA from 1 species